rnacentral:tRNA from 4 species
CGGAGCGUAGUAUAACGGUUAUUAUGCAGGGCUGGGGGUCCUGUGAUCCGGGUUCAAUUCCCGGCGCUCCGACCA